UAGUAGAAGGUUCACUUGGCAAAUUUGUUAAUGAAAAGAAAACUCAACUGCUCAAAGAUAAAGGUUGUUGCAGGUUGUACUGACAAAGGGGUGACAGCACUUCAACAAGUCUGUUCUUUUUCCAACAAGAAGACGAACGUAAAAUUAUCAAUGAUGGAGUAUCUUCAGUGGCAGGUUAUUAAUCUCUUUCAUUUCACCUUAUGCUACUUUUAAAAUCCCCUUCUCUUCUUUUUUUUUUUCCAAUUGCAUCCUAGUUAUAUUGCAGGUAAUUUGUUUUCUCUGAUAUUUGUUCCAUUUUGGGUUUGAGCAAAGUAACUUGCUUUUUCAGAAGACAAAGUGAUUAAUGAUAUGUAUGAAUUGACUCUGUCAUUAACCUUAUAACCAUUGUUAGCAUUGGACUCGUGUUUCUUUAAAUUUGAUUGAUUUGGUGUAUUUUUUAAUUCUUUAGGCUAUUUGUGUUUCCAGAAACAGAAAUAAAGUAUUUUAUCUCUACAAAGGUAAAAUCAAAGUACAACUAUCAAGGACAUGAACAUAUAUAUAAUUAUAUAUCAUCAUUUAAUUUCCAUGUUUGAAAGAGGAAAAGUACUAAAUUGCACAUUCUAGCUAGUAAGCUUCAUCCCUUUAGUGAAGCGUUGAACAGAUAGAUAUAUGCUACAUAGGAUAAAGUACCUAAUCAUUGAACUUCAAAUAUAUUUCUACAACGUUGCAAUAAUUGAAUAAAAAAUAGAAUUCAUUUUAUGACACAACAUAUAUUUCUACAACUUUGAAAAUAAUAUCAAUCCUUGUGUAAGAGUGAAAAAGAAUGAAAGCUGGUUAGAUAAUAAACCUGAAUUCAAUUUAAUCAUGCAUGUAUAUAGUAUAUAUUUGUUCAAACUUUGAAGUUAAAAGUUUCUUUAAUCAAUCAAGUAAAAAUUGCUAAGACUACUACAAAAAUAAGAAUAGAACUAUAUUUGAACUAAAUAGUUUUAAGUGAAAAAUUAGACCUUACACUUUUUAGACACUCAUUUUGUAUAUAUAUAUAAAGAUGGAGCACAUACAAAGUCCACUAUUGGAAGACUUUCUAGGACAAUCAUUGUUUCUUGAUUUUGGAAAUGGAUCUGCCAGAAAUUCUGACAUAGAAAUUAUUAGCAGUCAAGAGGAACUGAAAUUCUAUUAUCAGAGGAUCAUGGAAUUCUUUGGAAGCAUCAAGACUGGAAAAUUGGCUUAGCAAAAGUUCGAAGGUCUAGAAAGCUUUCAGUGUCGUUUCUAUGCACGGUGGCUAACUAUGAGUAUGCAUUUUUUUGGCAUUUUUAUCAG